UGAUUUGGCCGAAUUCGCGCGAGAGUAGCUCAGCGUGCUUGGGCGAGAGUACUACUUGGAUUGGUGACCUCCUGGGAAGUCCUCGUGUUUCACCCC
rnacentral:rRNA from 1 species